rnacentral:rRNA from 1 species
CCUACGGGCGGCUGCAGUGGGGAAUAUUGGACAAUGGGCGAAAGCCUGAUCCAGCCAUGCCGCGUGUGUGAAGAAGGCCUUCGGGUUGUAAAGCACUUUCAGUGGGGAAGAAAGCCUUGGGGCUAAUACCCUCGAGGAAGGACAUCACCCACAGAAGAAGCACCGGCUAACUCCGUGCCAGCAGCCGCGGUAAUACGGAGGGUGCGAGCGUUAAUCGGAAUUACUGGGCGUAAAGCGCGCGUAGGCGGUCUGAUAAGCCGGUUGUGAAAGCCCCGGGCUCAACCUGGGAACGGCAUCCGGAACUGUCAGGCUAGAGUGCAGGAGAGGAAGGUAGAAUUCCCGGUGUAGCGGUGAAAUGCGUAGAGAUCGGGAGGAAUACCAGUGGCGAAGGCGGCCUUCUGGACUGACACUGACGCUGAGGUGCGAAAGCGUGGGUAGCAAACAGGAUUAGAUACCCUGUAGUC